rnacentral:sRNA from 1 species
AUGACGAAAAGAAAUCUAAGGCACAUUAAAGAAAAUCAAAAAGAAAUAUAUACUUCUAUAAACAGGUAUACAGAACAGAACACUGAAUUAGAGAUAAAAAUAUUAACUAUGAUCAUAUUUGAAGAAAUAGAAAGGUCGUUUCAAUAGCUUUACGAUAGAUUAGAAACAUUAGAAAAUGCAGUUACGGUUUCACACGUCGGUAAAUUGCACCCUAGUUAAUAGACCCUUCAUACCUUAUAGAAGAACUUAACUUUAUUCAAAACACAAUAGACGUUAAUGUAGCAUUUGACCCUAACAUCAGAAAUAUACACCUUUGGGAAACGGCAAUAACAGUCAAAGCAUACAGUACCAAUGGCACCUUAAAUUUCAUACUAGAGAUACCCCUAGUUGCAAAACAACUUUAUAACCUAUUAUAUCUUUACUCAAUCCCUACUAACCACAAUAUCUUCCUAAUACCCAAAAAUCCUAUUAUGAUCUUGGGAAAUAACGAGUUUGCGUACCGCCCCGAGCCCUGCAACACAAUAACAAAAGAUGAAGUUAUAUGCAGACACCUACAAUGGCAGGACCUUAGACAAUCAAAUGACUGUAUAGCACAAUUACUACAACACCUAGAACCACAUAACUGCACCUAUGCAACAGCAACAUAUGAAGACAAUAUAAUACAGCAAAUAAAAGAUAACACCUGGAUUGUCGCCCUAAAACAGGAAGAAGUUAUAAAAACAACGUGUGGUAACGACAUUCAAUAUCAACGAAAUAAAGGAGUUUUCCUAAUAACAAUAGACAAUAACUGUAACGUACAAGUAAAGGAAAGAAUCCUAACAACACAUCAAAAAUACAUCAAUGUAAGGGAAACAAUUCCCCUACCCCGUGCACAUCAAGCCCCACAAACUAUGCCCACGAAAAUUAAGUUACAAAACAUAGAAUUAGAUAAUUUAAAGGAUGCCUUAAAACAAAUAGACAAUUUGGAAACAAAGGAAAUAGAAACGAAAAAUAUUCCAACCACCCCUAGCUGGCCAUUUAUAUGUCUAUAUAUAAUUUUAAUAAAAGCAGUCUCAGGAGGAGCUAUCCAUAAGUUCUACAGGAAGCCUAAUUCAGCGCUACCCUCAGUCCGGCAGCCAACAGAAGAUCCUGUUCAGCUGCCCUUGCAGCCUUCGGGACGCUUCAUUCUUAAGGAGGGAGGAGUUACAUCGCCAUAACAGUUAUUGUACACCAGGAGAUAACGUUAAACGAUAACCUAUUAGACUCGUCUUCCUUAAUAACAGGAAAACAUUAAGACAGUAUAAUGUCCCUUUGUAUUUAGUUAUAAGUGAAACCUUUGUAAUAGAUUGAGAUAAAUAUAAGAAACUAAAUAAAGUCUUCAGUCUGGUUCAGCUCCUCAGGCUGUGAACAUCUGCUUGUAUACUUUUUAAAAAGCCUAAUGCCGUCACCCACAGCCUAACUCGAGUGGAUAGAUAUUUCUGAAAAAAAAGCAUGAUUUUUGAAUGCCAUGACGAUGGUUAAUAUUUCACGUAUGACGGCGUGACUUUUAAAAUCCCUUAUAGAUUCUGGCGAUACUGCAUUGCAGCAAAAUUCAGAAUUUUCAAAAUCUAACGCCACGUACAUCAACAGGACUGUACAAAAUGAGUUGAUAGGUGUUCGAGCAGAAAUAAUUCAGGAAAACAUUUUACAGAAUGUGCGGGAAGUAAUUUUUUUUUUCAAUUUUCUUCGAUUAAUAUUGAAAAGCUAACUGGAAGAGAUAACAACACUACGUUGAGUUUUGCGACAAAAGCGUUUUUGCAACUUGAAGAUUUGUAGGAAUGCGUCGUUGGAGAUUGUAUUGUUGAAUAAAGAUAAAUUUAAAGCUUUAUAUAAUGUCUUUAUAAAAGUAUUUAAUAUAUAUUGUGUAUUUAAAGGUGUCCUUGUAAACGUUUUUUGUUUCUUUUGAAUUCUGCCGUGUGGCAUUAUUGUUUUGCCUUGUGUUAAAAUAUAUUGUUAGUCCAUUGAAAUGUUACAUUUUUUAGGCCUUACCUUGCGUUUU